GUCCAGGGAUGGGAAUCGAACCCACUGCGUUCCGCUUACCGGGCAGAUGCCAUGUCCACUAGGCUACCCUGGA
rnacentral:tRNA from 1 species